UACAGAGGGUGCGAGCGUUAAUCGGAAUUACUGGGCGUAAAGCGUGCGUAGACGGCUAUCUAAGUCGGGUGUGAAAGCCCCGGGCUCAACCUGGGAAUUGCAUUCGAGACUGAAUAGCUAGGGUACGGUAGAGGGAAGUGGAAUUCCCGGUGUAGUGGUGAAAUGCGUAGAUAUCGGGAGGAACACCAGUGGCGAAGGCGACUUCCUGGCCUGUUCUUGACGCUGAGGCGCGAAAGCGUGGGGAGCAAACAGG
rnacentral:rRNA from 1 species